GAAAUAAUAACCUCAAAGAUGCCUUCCAAUCAGAAGAUUUGGUGAUUCUUUCUGAGUUAUCAAACUGCCUUCCUUUGACCUUGCUCACAUGUAGAAAUCCAAGUCAGCGCAGCUUAACUUGGACUCACCACCUAUCAAGUGCUCGACAGCCACGUGUGCAGUGGUUCCUACGUGGAGCAGCAUACAUCCAGAGAUGCAAAUAUUAAUGAGGACAGUGCUAGUAACAGAGUUGCUGAGCAAUCUAUGUCCCCUUGUAAGAACCAGUGCCCCAGGGGAAGAAACAGAACUCCACAAGGUAGCAGUGUGGGUGUAGUACCCGCAUGUGCCCAUGUUAUGGGAAUGUAGAUGGGGAGUGACCACCGCCAACAGAAGUGUGGCCAUCUUGCCCGAGAUGCCUGAGGACCUCCUAUUUUUAGAUGCUGCUGCCCAAGGCCUGUAUUUCAUGCUAUGGCUUUUGUCAUUUGAAUUAUCAGUAGCUGUCUCGGAGCUAUUACGCUUCACUGGGCCCUGGAGGAUAUUGUCUUAUACAGUCCACUGGGUUUUGGAUAUGCAGUCUGUGCCUUUCAUUGCCUUCCUGGAAAAUAAUAACUAAAC
rnacentral:lncRNA from 1 species